GUAAAAUAUUCUUUCAGGCGAAAACUAAAUUUUGUAAUGUCAACGUGUUAGAGUUUUUUUUAUAUUUUAUUUUAUUUUUUAUUUAUUUUUUAAUCGAAAUUUUAUAACAACCAAAAUGUUUUGAAGACUGCCGAUUAAUUUGUGGUAAUGUCAGGGCUCAGUACCGACGGCAUGGAGCCCGAAAACGUAAACAACAUAGAAAACAAGAUAAACGAUGAUGUCAAGUCGUUCUUACUUAAGCGAAGCGAUCAUGACCUGCCUCGAUACACUGCUAGAAUAAGGACCUACCUGGAUGUUAAAAGAAAGCGACAGCGGGCGAAUGAGGCGCGACGCAAUACUGAGAAUGAAAAAACAAAAAAGAAAACUGAGACUGAGUCAAAAGAGGACACCGCCUUUUUAAGUAACGAUGACGAUCGUGUCAGCAGGAGUCGCCGUGAUAAUGAAGAACGCGCCCGCCCUGUGUCACGUGGGCAGGAGCCCGCAGACCGUUGUUGCCGGCGCAGGCGCCGACGGAGAUCGUGUUGUCGAAGGCGCAGACGACCUCGCCGCCGCAGUUGCAGAAAGCGUCGCCGUCGCAGUUGUAGUCGGCGCCGCCGCCGCCGCCGUCGUCGCAGCUGUAGCCGCCGCCGGCGCAGACGAAGCUGUCGACGAAGAAGACGCAAGAACCGCCGCUGUGGAUGUCGUCGUUAAGCCCGGAUGUUAUCCACUUGUAACCGAUUUUUGGAGCGUUUAAUUUUAUGAAUAAAAUAUUGAUGUCCGCUUA